rnacentral:tRNA from 1 species
GAGGGUGUAGCUCAGUGGUAGAGUGCCUGCCUAGCAUGCACAAGGUCCUGGGUUCAAUCCCCAGUAUCUCCA